CCUCUUAAGGUAGCGUAGUACCUUGCCGCUUCAGUAGCGGCUUGCAUGAAUGGAUUAACGAGAGCGUCACUGUCCCAACGUUGGGCCCGGUGAACCGUACGUUCCAGUGCGGAGUCUGGAGACCCCCAGGGGGAAGCGAAGACCCUAUGGAGCUUUACUGCAGGCUGUCGCUGGGACACGGUCGCUAGUGUGCAGGAUAGGUAGGAGUCAUUACAGAGGUGCGUGCGCCAGCACGUCGCCCAGACAGCCCUGAAAUACUACCCACUAGUGACUGUGACCCUCACUCCGGGAGGAGGACACCGGUAGCCGGGCAGUUUGGCUGGGGCGGCACGCGCUUGAAAAGAUAUCGAGCGCGCCCCAAGAUCACCUCAGCCGGGACAGAGAUCCGGCGAAGAGUGCAAGAGCAAAAGGUGGUCUGACAGUGUCCUACACAGCGAGGGACGCUGACGCGAAAGCGUGGUCUAGCGAACCAAUGAGGCUCCUCAAUGGGGCCCAUUGAUGACAGAAAAGCUACCCUAGGGAUAACAGAGUCGUCACCCGCAAGAGCUCAUAUCGACCGGGUGGCUUGCUACCUCGAUGUCGGUUCCCUCCAUCCUGCCCGUGCAGAAGCGGGCAAGGGUGAGGUUGUUCGCCUAUUAAAGGAGGUCGUGAGCUGGGUUUAGACCGUCGUGAGACAGGUCGGCUGCUAUCUACUGGGGGUGUCAUGGUACCUGACGGGAACGAUCGUAUAGUACGAGAGGAACUACGAUCGGCUGCCACUGGUGUACCGGUCGUCCGACAGGGCGAGUGCCGGGCAGCUACGCAGCAUGGGGUAAAGGCUGAAAGCAUCUAAGCCUGAAACCCUCCUGGAAAAGAGGUACCGCUAAGACCACCCGUAUAAGACGGGUUCGAUAGACUCGGGGUGUGCGCGCCAAGGUAACGAGGCGUUCAGCCCGCGAGCACUAACAGGUCAAAGUCACCUUA
rnacentral:rRNA from 1 species